UACGUAGGGGGCAAGCGUUGUCCGGAUUUAUUGGGCGUAAAGAGCGUGUAGGCGGCCAUACAGGUCAGCUGUGAAAACUCGAGGCUCAACCUCGAGACGUCGGUUGAAACCGUAUGGCUAGAGUCCGGAAGAGGAGAGUGGAAUUCCCGGUGUAGCGGUGAAAUGCGCAGAUAUCGGGAAGAACACCUGUGGCGAAGGCAGCUCUCUGGGACGGUACUGACGCUGAGGCGCGAAAGCUCGGGGAGCGAACGGG
rnacentral:rRNA from 1 species